rnacentral:rRNA from 1 species
AGAUGGCGACCGGCGCACGGGUGAGUAACACGUAUCCAACCUGCCGAUAACUCGGGGAUAGCCUUUCGAAAGAAAGAUUAAUACCCGAUGGCAUAAUUAGACCGCAUGGUCUUAUUAUUAAAGAAUUUCGGUUAUCGAUGGGGAUGCGUUCCAUUAGGCAGUUGGUGAGGUAACGGCUCACCAAACCUUCGAUGGAUAGGGGUUCUGAGAGGAAGGUCCCCCACAUUGGUACUGAGACACGGACCAA